rfam:Cajanus cajan chromosome 3, whole genome shotgun sequence.
CAUUGAAGUGAUGAUAUUACUUUCCGAACUCAUCAAUGUCGACUCUAAAUUAUCAGACUACAAUUAUCUGAUCCAUG